rfam:Myotis brandtii contig259876, whole genome shotgun sequence.
GGUGGUUCUCGGGUGACACGCUGCGGAAUCAGGCUCCCUUCUCUCUGGUUCCGGGUGCAUCACCUGAGAACCACA